CGCCGGCUCUACAGUCUGCGGGAGGAAAAAGGGGAGCCGGACACAGCUGACAGACUUGAUCUCGGUGAUGUUCAAGUGGAAGCCGAACCAUCAAGCUCAGAUGGAGCUGAACCUCCCCCCACCUCUCAUGAUUCUUCAUCUUCUUUGAGACUAUGUGAUGCAGCUUCAUUUUCAGUAUGUCAUUUUUUGUCAAAUUUAGUGGUGGUGGUGGAUUUUCAAAAUUGUUUAUUUGUUCUUGGAAAUUACUUCAAAAAGUAUU